rnacentral:rRNA from 1 species
UACGAAGGGGGCUAGCGUUGCUCGGAAUCACUGGGCGUAAAGGGUGCGUAGGCGGGGCUUUAAGUCAGGGGGGAAAUCCUGGAGCUCAACUCCAGAACUGCCUUUGAUACUGGGUGCCUCGAGUGAGGUAGGGGCGUGCGGAACUGAUGGUGGAGCGGUGAAAUGUGUUGAUAUCAUCAGGAACUCCGGUGGCGAAAGCGGCGCGCUGGACCUUAACUGACGCUGAGGCGCGAAAGCCAGGGGAGCAAACGGG